rnacentral:rRNA from 1 species
AGUCGACGGGCUCAUAUUGAAACCUAGUGAUGUAUGAGUUAGUGGCGGAUUUGGUGAGUAACGCGUGGAGAACCUGCCGUAUACUGGGGGAUAACACUUAGAAAUAGGUGCUAAUACCGCAUAAGCGCACAGCUUCGCAUGAAGCAGUGUGAAAAACUCCGGUGGUAUACGAUGGAUCCGCGUCUGAUUAGCUGGUUGGCGGGGUAACAGCCCACCAAGGCGACGAUCAGUAGCCGGCCUGAGAGGGUGAACGGCCACAUUGGGACUGAGACACGGCCCAAACUCCUACGGGAGGCAGCAGUGGGGAAUAUUGCACAAUGGGGGAAACCCUGAUGCAGCGACGCCGCGUGAGUGAAGAAGUAUUUCGGUAUGUAAAGCUCUAUCAGCAGGGAAGAAAUACUGACCUUACGGUCAGCAGACGGUACCUGACUAAGAAGCCCCGGCUAACUACGUGCCAGCAGCCGCGGUAAUACGUAGGGGGCAAGCGUUAUCCGGAUUUACUGGGUGUAAAGGGAGCGUAGACGGCAGCGCAAGUCUGAAGUGAAAUCCCAUGGCUUAACCAUGGAACUGCUUUGGAAACUGUGCAGCUGGAGUGCAGGAGAGGUAAGCGGAAUUCCUAGUGUAGCGGUGAAAUGCGUAGAUAUUAGGAGGAACACCAGUGGCGAAGGCGGCUUACUGGACUGUAACUGACGUUGAGGCUCGAAAGCGUGGGGAGCAAACAGGAUUAGAUACCCUGGUAGUCCACGCCGUAAACGAUGAUUACUAGGUGUUGGGGGACCAAGGU